UUUCCGUAGGUGAACCUGCGGAAGGAUCAUUCAUAAUAAAGUGUUUUAUGGCACUUUUUAAAAAUCCAUAUCCACCUUGUGUGCAAUGUUAAAUCUCGUCAAUCUUGGCGAGAUUUUUAUACAUCAACUCAUUUUUUAACUAAUUUGUCUGAAAAAUAUUAUGAAUACUUAAUUCAAAAUACAACUUUCAACAACGGAUCUCUUGGCUCUC
rnacentral:misc_RNA from 1 species